rnacentral:lncRNA from 1 species
UUAUUAAAAAUUAUUUAUUGUAUUUGUAAGCCACAUUAUGUAUAAGUUACUAAGUUAACAAAAUUGAAAAGAUACACCCCUGACUUACAGGUUACUGAUGACUUUGGGAUCCAAGAAGCAAACAACUACAAUAGCAUGUCAGCUGCUCAAGUGAAAGAUGUGAGAUCUAUACCAAAGCAUUUGCCUGUGCCAAAAUGCUGAUAUCCUGGAAUGCUUCCUAAAGAAGUUUGUAGUUGAAUUAAGAAUAUAAUGACUCGGAUUUUGCUGACCUUAUUCAGGCGAAUUAUCACAAGGAAGAAGCAUCCAGGUAAUGUGCUAUGUAAAAGCACCCACCCAAAGAACGCCGUGUCAUAAUUUGAAGACUCUGGGCUUUGAGCACAAAAAAGGCAUUUACACCAUGUGAAAUAAUUAUCAUUCAAAAUAUAAAGAAGCAGCCCUCUCCUUUCCUUCUUUCCUUUUUCCUCCUUGGUGACAAUUUCUUUAAAUGACAUACCUGAUGUUCUGUUUUUGUAUUAUUACAAAUCUAAAUCAAACAUAAUUUUUGAAGAUUAGUUGACAUAUUUAUUCUUUUACUUCAGAUAUUUCAAUGAAAUCUACUAGUUUAAAUACUUGUAUAGCUUAUUUAGUAGAAUAUGGCUAAAGAAGAGACAUAAAAUAAAUAUUUUAUAUGUAACAUUUCUUUAACAAUAUGUACACCUUAACUUUGAAGCACCCUAAGUAGAUAUAAGAAUCCCAAGAUUAUAUAUAUCUGAAAUUUUAAAGUAUCUCUUUUUAUCUUGGAAAGCAAAAGUUCAGGCAUAAGAAAUAUUAUGUUGAUCCUUCUCACAAAAUCUUGAAUAAACUCAUCAUCAAUACACUUUGCUUAACCAUGAGACUUCAUUAUUUCUAAUUCCUUCAUCUCCUAUUUUUUACUCUGAUUCUGCCUUAUGUAAUUAAGGGAACAAAAAUUUGUCAUUAAAAACUAAAUAAAAUGAAUUG